rnacentral:rRNA from 1 species
AACAUAGCCAUUAGAUGAUACUAUAUGGUUUUACCUGCCCAAUGUUACGAUGAAUGGCCGCGGUACCCUGACCGUGCUAAGGUAGCGUAAUCAGUUGACCUUUAAAUGAGGUCAGGAAUGAAUGGAAUAACCGGGUUUAGCUGUCUCCAAACCAUUAUAUUGAAUUUACUAUCUAAGUGAAAAAGCUUAGGAUUUAAAAAAGGAGGAGAAGACCCUUAGAAUUUUUUUAAAAAGGAACAUAUUUUCCUUGCAGUUUUAUUGGGGCGAUAAAGAAAUAAUUAAAACUUUCUUUUUUAACAAGCCGAUUGUAUUAAGUAAGAAUAAAUUACCUGAGGGAUAACAGCAUAAUUCUAUAACUGAGUUUGUGACCUCGAUGUUGGACUAGGAAACCAGUAGGCUAGCCGUUUACUGUGUUAGGUUCUGUUCGAACUUUUAUUCCU